rnacentral:lncRNA from 1 species
AGACGGUCUUUACAAGCGACUCGUGGGCGUCAAUACUGGGCUGAGUUUGUGGCGCGCUUAGUGAUGGGAUGGCCCUGUGCAGGACGCCGACACGAAAAGAUGAAGAGUUCAAUCCGUGCUGUCUGAACUCACAGUGUAGCAGGCGAGAUAGACGGGAAGAUCGGUAGGGUGGGAGAUGCCGGAAAGGCUUCCCGUGAGACUGGAUAAGAAAUCAAAAAUCUGGUGAAAUUGCCGGCAAGAGGGAGUUAAGGACAUUCCAGGCAGAGGCAAGGCUCCCGCUGAAGUAACCCAGACGCCAGGGAUAUCUCUGCCCGCUCCACUCUGACUCUAGUGCUCAAUGUGCCUGCCAGGCCUUGCUAGGGAUGCUGUGCCAGUGUGAAGAGGAAGGUGGUCUCCAGCUCUCACCCCAUAGAAGCUUUCUGCCUCAGUUUCCCUAACCUGGAACACCACAAUGACUCCUGAAUUGAAAAACACUGCUUACAGCAUCUAGGCUAAAAUUGGCAGAAUACCUGGGCUCCAAGCCAGGGAGAUUUGGAGCGAUGGGGAGGUGCAAGAGCACAGCCAGACAGAGCCAAAAGCAAUAAUAUCCUGUUUGUUCCUACACUGCCCUCCGCAUUAAAAAAACAACGACAGCUACAUCAAGCCCUUUUGUUAAGUGGCCACAAGCUGUACAUUUCUUGGUCCCAGGCAGGUAUACUGGGAGUUCAGAUCCUGGUCUUAAUGCUCUUCUCUGGUUCUGUGACAUCCUAGAAUGUGAAGAGGAGGCCUUGGGUUCUGUCACUGCCUCCAGCCCGAGCCCCCUGCUCUUCCUGGGCAUCCCGGAUGGACCAUGUCUGCCUUUCUGCUGACUCAGAUUUAUUUCUGGUCCAGCCAUUCACAGCGUCCAUGUGUCUGAACUCCUCAGCCAGAGGGCAGGUGGAAGGGCAGGAGGAGGACCACGUGUCAGCUUUCCAUCCAGAGAGCCACCCCAAAACAGAGGAUGUCCUUGGGCUUGGACCAGCUCCACAGAACACUCUGAACAAAUUCUCACGAUGCCAGGCUCCUAGGCCGCAGAAAAUGCCUGUCUCCUCCCAGUUCUAAGAUAGCAAAGGGUGUGCGUUACCUCAAAACCACUUAGUACGCAGCCAACCUUAAUGGGCACUCUUGGCAUUACUGUUCUACUCAGCAAAUAGACAGUCCUAGGCAGGAAGGAGAUAUUUAGAAUCCUACUCUGUAAAACAGAGGCCUUUCCUAGGCCUCCUGUGAUGAAGGCAUGGGACCGUUACCAGACUUUGUCCCUCAAGGGUAAAUUGUUUUCAAGAAAACAGGAAGCUAGGAGCCAUCUAGUCCUUUGAAGUGCUGUGAAGUGGGCUGCCUUCUUCCCCGCCCAAGGGAGGGAGUCUCUGAGGCUUCCUGGCAAGGGUUAGUGUGACCUCCAGCAGUCACCUUCAGCAUGGGUUGCUGCUGGAUUCCUGGCUCUGUGGGCAGGAGCUCCCAGAAUGCUUGACACAGACUCUACGUGGCUUCCUUUGGGAAGACAAAUGGAGCCUGCUGUAGGCUAUGGCAGAGAUGGAGGCCCAGGGCCUCUGAGCUAGGGGCAAAGUCAGUCUCCCUCCUGUGUCUGAAACCCCAGGACUCCCCAUUCUGUAUGGUACUCCCCCCGACCCAACCCACAGUUUCCUUAGGAAAACUGACCUGCCUAUGGCCCAUUUCCUAAUGAUAUGAUUUGGUCAUGAGGCUGGCAGAGUCCAUGGGGUGCAUGUGGCACUCCUGUGCUUUGCUGUGACAGUGCCUUAACCCACAGGCGUGAUUAACUCCAAAGUCUGGGGUCUUUGGAAAAGGUGCCUAUCAAUGCAGAGGAAGUGAAGUGCUCAGACCGCCAAACAAGGCCAAGAGCCUCCCGGAAGAGCCUGCCUGUCAGGAAGUCUCUGGCCACAUGCUGUGGCCAUGCUCGCCUCUAUGAGAGGACAGAGAGAACAGACCAAGGACACGAGUUCAGAACAGAGAAAAUGUGAGAGCCGUAGACAGGAAAAGCAGCCCUUCUGGAAACAGCACACUGGUGUACCUAGCGUAACCUUGUCCUGAGGGCCACUAACUGCCCCUCACUUGACUCAGCUGACACUGUGAGGGGUCACGAGCCUGGCAACACUUUCUGGAAGGUCUAAAGGGCAGCACUGAGGAGACCUAAAGGUUUUGGUCUGUUUGUCAAAUGUCACUCUUCCUCACAUUCGGAGGAGAGCAUUUGAAGGCAGACCACUCUAGGGGCAAGAACAGGACUGAUUUUAACCCCGGGACAACCAACCAAGCAAGCAAGCUAGUGAAGAACAGGCCUCUGCCCAGGUGAAACACGUGGGGCCAAUUCCAUAGGUUUUUUUUUUUUUUUUUUUUUUUUUAAUUAACCUCCGGUGGGAAAGGUAAGGAUGGUGGGGAGGGGAGACGGUUACUUGUCUCAUUAUCAAUGUGUUAGUAUUAGUGACGGCAAAACUGAAUCUCUAGCAAUACUAUUUGCCCGUUUAAACUGGGCCUGGCUAUUGGGCUUAUGAGCAAAUAGCUUCUCAAAAUUUUAAUUUUCUAGUUAGUUCAUCCCAAGUCACUGAUUUACAUGUCUUUUGAGACUGAGACUGCUGGGGAAAAACAUUCCCAGAAAUGAGUGGAUUAGACUCUGUGAAUUACAAGGGAAAGACACUUUAAGUUUAAAGUUGUCCCAAACUUAGCGUCAAAAUACAGCCUUUAGAUUUUUUUUUCCAUCGAGAAAAAUUCCUGAUUCACUACCAAAAAGAGGCCCUGCAGGCAGCGUGCUGAUUUGUUCUGCUCCUGGUGCUGAGCUGCCCCCACCUGUGUGCAGGGAGGAGGGGUCGCUUCGGCCAAGGGCGGGAGCUCUGCUGGCUUUAGCGAGUCACCAUUGCCUCCUCGCAGUCAGCGUCCUAACGGGGUCCCCGUCUACAGCCCGGCAUCCACUCCUCCAAGGCCCUUCACACUGGCUCUAGCCAUGACCCCUCUUUGGAGGAAUAAAGCAGAGUUUCACGGACUCACCGACCUUGAAGCCGGAGCCUCCCACGUCCUGCUGAGCGCACACAGCCAAGAAGUGUAUGCAGGGCGAGCUGGUCGGGCCGGCCUGGAAAUCCUCCCUGGCGGGGCGGGGCCAGAGGACCUCACCAAUCCCAGCGUAGACCUCCGGGCGCACCGGCCCCCACAGCUGUACCCUUGAAGGCAGGCCCGUGGGCGCUGGGCCCUUUAUAGCACCUGCCCUUUCUCUGAAACGUAAAAGGCGGAGCCAGUCUUGCUUCCCAGGCCUGGUCCUGGAGGCUCCUUUGCCAGGGCUCUGGAUCUCAGAAUGGAAGGGCCAGCAGUUAAGAAUUUAAAAGCUGC